UUCUCAUAUCACUCAAUACAUUGGAAUUCAUCUGGCCUCAGAAGUUCAGAAAGGAUGGCCUGGAUAGAACUUGGAUGGGAAACCAUAAAAGAUUUGAAGAGAAU
rnacentral:rRNA from 1 species